ensembl:lncRNA
GGGGCAUUGGGAUAUUUUUUUUUAGACCAGAGAAAAGAGUGCCUCCUACUGGCCCUCCAACACCACUUCCAGCAGCAUCUGGUCUCCCAUCCAGGAACUGUCCAGGACCAACCCUGCUUAGCUUCAGAAGCAAGCCAGCAGUGGUAUGCAUACGCAUGCGUCGUAGACCUUUGAGAAGGAGGGUGAGAAAUGGUUGGGAGAGAGGGAAACAGAGAGACAUGGUUGGGAGAGAGAGGGAAACAGAGAGACAUUGGUUGGGAGAGAGAGGGAAACAGAGAGACAUUGGUUGGGAGAGAGAGGGAAACAGAGAGACAUUGGUUGGGAGAGAGAGGGAAACAGAGAGACAUGGUUGGGAGAGAGAGGGAAACUGAGACAACAUGGUUGGGAGAGAGCGGGAAACAGAGAGACAUGGUUGGGAGAGAGAGGGAAACAGAGAGACAUGGUUGGGAGAGAGGGAAACAGAGAGACAUGGUUGGGAGAGAGGGAAACAGAGAGACAUGGUUGGGAGAGAGGGAAACAGAGAAACAUGGUUGGAAGAGAGAGGGAAACAGAGAGACAUGGUUGGAAGAGAGAGGGAAACCGAGAGACAUGGUUGGUUGCUUUACUCUGACACCCCCCCCUCUCC